GGUUGACGAAUUAUUGUGAAAAGAGAACAUGGUGUUCGUUAUUCUCGUCACGUUCCUUUGCUGUAUAACAAGGAUUGUUGCAGAAUUAGACUGUGACCUCGACGUGUGUGGUUCGAGGUACUGUCCGCCAAAAUAUUACAACACAGCAAAGGAAACAAAAACAAAAGGAGACUUGGUGUGUGAAUGUCUAGUUUGUGUCAAGAAGCCAACAACUCCACCUCCAUGGUAUGUCAACAUAUGGAAUAAACUGGGAAAAUGAAGACUAUUUGCCUAUAUGUACAUUUCAGACCUCUCGCAUUGGUGGCUCGACAACUCUGCGAUGCGACUUAAACUGAGUUUAAACUAGCGUGGAAUCAAAUUAAAAUAAAAGUAGCAUAUGGAG